rnacentral:rRNA from 1 species
AGAUUGAACGCUGGCGGCAGGCCUAACACAUGCAAGUCGAACGGUAACAGGAAGCAGCUUGCUGCUUCGCUGACGAGUGGCGGACGGGUGAGUAAUGUCUGGGAAACUGCCUGAUGGAGGGGGAUAACUACUGGAAACGGUGGCUAAUACCGCAUAACGUCGCAAGACCAAAGAGGGGGACCUUCGGGCCUCUUGCCAUCAGAUGUGCCCAGAUGGGAUUAGCUUGUUGGUGAGGUAACGGCUCACCAAGGCGACGAUCCCUAGCUGGUCUGAGAGGAUGACCAGCCACACUGGAACUGAGACACGGUCCAGACUCCUACGGGAGGCAGCAGUGGGGAAUAUUGCACAAUGGGCGCAAGCCUGAUGCAGCCAUGCCGCGUGUAUGAAGAAGGCCUUCGGGUUGUAAAGUACUUUCAGCGGGGAGGAAGGGGAUAAGGCUAAUAACCUUGUUCAUUGACGUUACCCGCAGAAGAAGCACCGGCUAACUCCGUGCCAGCAGCCGCGGUAAUACGGAGGGUGCAAGCGUUAAUCG